CCUACGGGAGGCUGCAGUGAGGAAUAUUGGUCAAUGGGCUUACGCCUGAACCAGCCAAGUCGCGUGAGGGAAGACUGCCCUAUGCGUUGUAAACCUCUUUUGUCAGGGAGCAACGCCGGCUACGUGUAGCCAGACUGAGAGUACCUGCAGAAAAAGCAUCGGCUAACUCCGUGCCAGCAGCCGCGGUAAUACGGAGGAUCCGAGCGUUCUCCGGAUUUAUUGGGUUUAAAGGGAGCGUAGAUGGGUUGUUAAGUCAGUUGUGAAAGUUUGCGGCUCAACCGUAAAAUUGCAAUUGAUACUGGCAGGCUUGAGUACAGUUGAGGUAGGCGGAAUUCGUGGUGUAGCGGUGAAAUGCUUAGAUAUCACGAAGAACUCCGAUUGCGAAGGCAGCUUACUAAACUGCCACUGACAUUGAUGCGCGAAAGUGUGGGUAGCAAACAGGAUUAGAUACCCUGGUAGUC
rnacentral:rRNA from 1 species